rnacentral:rRNA from 1 species
GACGAACGCUGGCGGCGUGCUUAACACAUGCAAGUCGAACGAUGAAGCUAGAGCUUGCUCUGGUGGAUUAGUGGCGAACGGGUGAGUAACACGCGAGUAACCUGCCCCGAACUCUGGGAUAACUGCUGGAAACGGUAGCUAAUACCGGAUAUGACCAAUGAAGGCAUCUUCUGUUGGUGGAAAGAAUUUCGGUUCGGGAUGGACUCGCGGCCUAUCAGCUUGUUGAUGAGGUAACGGCUCACCAAGGCGACGACGGGUAGCCGGCCUGAGAGGGUGAUCGGCCACAUUGGGACUGAGACACGGCCCAGACUCCUACGGGAGGCAGCAGUGGGGAAUAUUGCACAAUGGGCGCAAGCCUGAUGCAGCGACGCCGCGUGAGGGAUGAAGGUCUUCGGAUUGUAAACCUCUUUCAGUAGGGACGAAGCGAAAGUGACGGUACCUAAAGAAGAAGCACCGGCUAACUACGUGCCAGCCGCCGCCGUAA